ACAGGGAUCUGGUGUGAAUGUUACAUUAGACAAUCAACAGAAUCGACGUUUUUCUGAGUGAGUGCACUGGUGUUGUAUUUCUUUUGGGAUUUAAGCUGUCUUAUCACUAAACCCUUUAAAAGAUGUGUCUCAAGUACUUAGUUGGUCAUUUGAAUUCUCUUUACCUCUCUCUCUCUCUCACACACACACACAGACACACACACACAUACAUACACGCGCGCACACACACACACACACACACACACACACACACACACAUCAAGGGAAACUUAACUGAGAACUCAACCAAGCAAGACUCUUUUUUUGUACUCACUCUCCUAUGUCCAAACAUUCAAGCACUCCCACACAUACACAGACACACACACACACACACACACUCCCACACAUACACAGACACACAAACACAGUCUGAGAGAGAACACCAGCUAGCCAAUGCAGAGACAUGCAGGUCAGUGGGCCGUCCUGAGAGAGGGGGUCACACUUGUGCCCACGGCAACAGGACAGACUCCAAACACAGCGUUGUCAACCAAAAUCCCCUCAAAGCUAUGCAGCUCCCUUAAGCCCUUCUCUCCCUCAACAUGAGCUUCUGUGGGUCCCCAGGAUUACUCUCUACUGGGACAUCCAGGGCCCUGCCCCCCUCCCUGCUGAAGCUCAGGCAGCUUCUGGAGGACAAAUUGCUCAUCCUCCAGGAAACUGUUUCUGCAGACAGGCAGGUCUGUGAGGAGAGCGACGCUGUCGGGGACAUCAGGAAGCACUUGGACCAAAGCCAGGAGCUGAGACGCCAUCUUGCUGAGCUCCAGAGCAACACUGAGCAGGAGAUCUCCACCAUCACACAGCAGCUUGGGUGUGUGGUGCUGCGGCGUGAGCGUAUAAGCUGUGAGUUAGCCGAUCUCCAGAGGCAGCACUCCGAGGUCCAGUCCGCCCUAGAGAGGAACCGGGACUCAGACACCUGUGCUACUCUACUGCAGCAGAGGCGUGAGCUGCAGGUGUGUAUAGCCGGCCGGGCAGCACAGCGAGAGCGUGUGUGUUUUCGGGAACAGGCCCUCCGAGCACUGCAAGGCAUUCUAAGCGCAGACGCCCACAGGUACCAGCAGGAGACCCAGAAACUUCACCUCCUCAGCCACAGAGCCUCCAGUGUCAUGCCAGGGGAGAGCCAGAACGAGCCGGACAACAUGGACAGCCUCCGCUCGGACAGCAGGACAGCCACAGCGCUCCAUUCGGAGGCGCUCACUAAUGGACACACAGCCAUGGGCGCUAAUGCAGGAUCUCCAGGGUCGCCGGGGAGCGCGGAGGACGAGGACAAAAGGUGGAGGGCGAGCAAACAGGCAGCGUCCACGAAGGGCUCGACUCUGACGCGCUCCGGGAGCGUCAAGGACCUGAUUCACAAGUUCUCCGUACCAGACAGCCCCAUCUCCCCCAUGUCCUCCCCAGAGAUGUCCCCCAGCACGGGGCCUCUGACUGGGAAGGCCCCCGGAGCAGAGCCAGGGGGGCCCGGAGGAGUGCCGGAGCCCAGCAGACCUGCUGCUGAGGGCCAGGAAGGAGAAAGAGAGAAGUCUCCUCAGAGGAGCUCCAUGCCCUCCGUGACAGUGACCGUGACUCCCCCCACUGAGGAAUCCUCUCGCACGGACAAGCAGAGUGAGACGACUGGCCCCUCCAAUGGGGCUUUGGCAGGCAGCGGGACAAAGGUGGAAUGCCACUUUGAUUCCAGCAAGCAGCCUGAGAGCCCCUCAUCCGAGGAGGAGGCGCCCAGCGCCAAGGCCAGCCAGAACCCCAAGUAUCAGCUGUACAUGAGUGGAGAGGCCCUGGGGAACGGCUCCAGAGAUCCAGAGGGGCUGGUGGGAGAGAGCGGGCCCCGGACCAGCCGCUGGGAGAGCAGCAGGCAGGGGACGAGCAACCGGGGCUCCAUGGAGUCCCUCCUCUCCAGAGACUGGGACACCAUGUCAGACCGGGUGGGUGGCUUUGAGAGCCCUCCUCUCCGCGUCUUCAACAGCCCCUACACAUCAUCUCUGGAUUUCAAUCCCAUCCACAGGAUGUCUGAGUAUAAGGUCCAGGACGGGCUCUCCCCUGCCACCGACUUCAACAUCUUUGGGCUGAACGGGCGAAGCACCAGCCCUGUGACAUUCACCAACGUGCACGCCCCUCGUGCACGCUACACUUCAACCUAUGACACCCUCACCAGGAGACGGGAGAGAGAGACGGCCCCCAACCAAGUGUCUCUGCGCUCGGGCAUGUCCAACAAACGGGACUACAUUGAGGAGCUGACCAAACAGCUGGAGGAGGUUCAGAGGAGGAACCAGUUCUUGGAGGCCGAGAGCAUUGAGAUGGAUAAGGAGCGAAACCAGAUCCGCUUUGAGAUGCGUGGGCUCCUGGUCAACAAUGAAGACCUGGUGCGCAACAACACCCAGCUGCAGGGGGAGAUGAAGAAGAUGAGGGACAGGAUGGUGGAGGUGGAGUCCGACCACAACGUCAUGGUGGAGCGUUUCAGACAGAUGGAGGGUGAACUGAAAGAAGCCAGAGAGGUGAUGGUAGAAGCCAACACUCAGGAGUACGCCUUCAACUUCCUCCAGCAGUCCCUCAAGAACAAGAUUCAGGAUGCUGAGGACGCCCUGGACAAGCAGACGCAGCACGCUCAGGUCAUCUCUGAGAAGCUGUGGUUAGCGGAGCGGAAGCUGGAGGAGCUGGAGGUGGACAAAGAGACCAGAGGCAAGAAGAACUCUGAGCUCAACAGCUCUGUGCAGCGCCUGGAGGAUGAGCUGGCCGAGGCCUUGCAGACGUCUACACAGGCCAGUGUAGAGCUCAGCCUGCAGCAGAAGCUGAGAGCUGAUGCCCAGCUGCGGGUGGAGGAGCUAGAGGAGAGCCUGCUGGAGAAGAACCAGGAAAUGCUCAGACUCCAGCAGAUCAUCCACAGACUACAGGGAGAGGUCUCCGGUAAGCUGAUUGAUAAGGAGCAGAGCUUGGAGGAGGAGAUCCAGCUGAGGGAGAGGAUCCAGCUGCAGUGCAAACAGGCCGAGCGCCACGUGGAGGACCUGCAGAUGGAGAUACACACAGCCAAACAGGCCAGAGAAGACCUGGUCAAACAGCUCAAGAGCACACAGGUACACACACACACACACACACACAUACACACACACACACACACACACACACACACACACACACACACACACAGGAUCCAUCUCUCUCUCACACACACACACAAAUGCAUACACACACUCUGUCUCACGCUCUCUCACACACACACACACACACACACACACACACACACACACACACACACACACACACACACACACACACACACAUACUGUCUUUCUCUCUCUCAUAGUUUGUGGUGA
ensembl:lncRNA